rnacentral:lncRNA from 1 species
ACCCAGCAUCCUUAGAGAAGGCUCAGUUUGAGAUUCAAGUGAGACAGAAUCCAUUUCAUGAGAGAUGAAUUAUCCAUCUGCCCACAUUAUAGCCAAUGGCAGCACCAUCUGCCCCACUUAAAGACUGAUGGUCUUGGACCAGAUCAGAGCAUUUGACUUUCCUCCUUUCUGUCCUGCUUUCCUUCCUUGUCUUUAUCAUUCUCUGCCCCUCCUUCCAUCUUCAUUCCCCCCUUUUCUUUCUAUUUCCCAACCCUCAUUCCCAAGUCUUUCCCUCUGCUUCUGAAUCCUUCCAGACAGUUCUCUGAGUGACUUCUAGUGAUCACCUGUGUGGAGGGAACUUGUUUAGCUUCGCUUGAUUUUCAAAUGAGGUGCUGCUUCCUAAGCUGAAUCAUGUGCUCCCAAUUAAUCUAAAGGAGAGACAUGAAAAUGAUUGAUUAUACUCUGCUAGCUGUGACCCUGACAAGAGAGAGAAAGAGAGGGAGAGACAGAGACAGAGACAGAGACAGAGACGGGGUUUGAGACUGCUGUUCCCAAAGACAAUGCAGUUGGGCAGGUAUCAGCCACCAAAGGCUUAUUAAAAAUGGGUCAGGAACAAGGCAUUGAGGGUAAAACUGAUAAAACAAGAAAAGGUGCUUGGUCUCCAGGUUGCUACAGUCUCUUGGGAGAUACAACUGCACAUGGAUGAAUAACCAAGGGAAGAACCGAGAAUCCAAGGCAAGACAACCCCAAAGGCUCCAGGGAAACCUGAAGAUGAAGAGCCCAGUUUUAGCUGGGGAUGUGGGAGCCUGAGCAGGACCUCAAUCAAAGCUCAGAAUUGCAGGGGAAUGGAGGUGUGUUCCCUGAGACAGGCUGUAGUUUGCCCACAGAUGUUCUUCAGACCUGGUGUCAGGAAGAGCUCUCUUCUUACAAGCUGAACUUUCCCAAAGGGGAAUGAGCUCCCUUGGGAGAUUGUGCACUUCCUCUCCUUGGAAGACUUCAGUCAAAGGCUGAGUGACCACUGUUUGGUUGUUCUGAAAGUCGGUGAGUCUAACAUCCCUAAAGGAUAACAGUUCCUGCAGCGGAGACCUAGAAAGCUCUGACCUAGGCACUGGAGUAAAAGGACUGAGUAAACUAGAGUGCCUUCCUCCACGGAGCUUCCAGGUGAGCAGGAAGAAAGGAGCAAAAGACAUAAGGUCAAUAUGAAUAAAAUGUGUGAAAUCCACA